ensembl:lncRNA
AUGACAACUGUAUUGCAAAUGUCCCCACUCUCUUCUGUAACGUAUGGCAGAUGUUCCUAUUGGCCUUUUUCCCUGCUGAUCUUGGAAGCAGCCUCUGAACUUCUGAACACAGUACUCCAGAUAUUGAAAAGAAUACGAUACUGCAGACCACAGAUCUCACAGUGUCUUCAGGGUGCUCCUGAAAUACAGGAUAAAAUUUGUUCACGGUCUUCAAUACCGAGAACAAAUAAUGUGAAAAUGGAAUGAGAUUUCCGACCUAAGAUAUCUAAUAAUCACAAUGUGAUAAAGAAGGAACCAAAUGCCAUCAAGAGAUGUUUUGCCAUUGAGUACAUGUGGACACAAAGAAGGGAACACCAGACAUGGAGCCUACUUGAAGGUGGAGGGAGGGAGGAGGGUAAGUACUGGAAAACUACCUAUCAGGUACUAUGCUUAUUACAUGGGCGAUGAAAUUAACUGUACACAUGAAAUUUAGCUAUAUAACAAACAUGCACAUGUUUGUUGCAUGUGCUUUGAACCCUAAAACAAAAGAAAAAGAAAAAGUAAUUAAAGUUAAAAAAAAAAGAGAUGUCUUGCUUUGUUUCCACAGGUUCUCUCUUCUCCUAGGGGCACUACCAAUACCUCCAACUAUGACUGCCCAAAUGAAAGGAAUUUAAAUAACUCAGCCCACCUGGAAUAGAAUCAGAAGGCAAGCCAAGAAGAAAAACAGAAGUCAUGUUUACAAGGGCCUCUCAAGCAAAUAAGUGGGUGGGGAGUGAGACGGGAAAGAGUUAAGAGAGAGGCUGCAGUGGGAAUGUGAUUUUGAAAGAGAAAAUUGUAACCAGUUAUGACGAGCUUUUUUUCAUGUAUUUGUUGGCUGCAUAAAUGUCUUAUUUUGAGAAGUGUAUGUUCAUAUUGUUUGCCCACUUUUUGAUGGGGUUGUUUCAAAACCACAUUGAGAUACCAUCUCACACCAGUUAGAAUGACAAUCAUUAAAAAGUCAGGAAACAACAGGUGUUAGACAGGAUGUGGAGAAAUAGGAGCACUUUAACACUGUGGUUGGGAGUGUAAAUUAGUUCAACCAUUGUUGAAGACAAUGUGGCGAUUCCUCAAGGAUUUAGAAAUAAAAAUACCAUUUGCCCCAGCAAUCCCAUUACUGGGUAUAUAACCAAAGGAUUAUAAAUCAUUCUACCAUAAAGAUACAUCCAUACCUAAAUUUACUGUGGCACUGUUCACAAUCAAAAAAGACUUGGAACUGGCCGGGCAUGGUGGCUCACGCCUAUAAUCCCAGCACUUUGGGAGACCAAGGCGGGUGGAUCAGGAGGUCAAGAGAUCGAGACCAUCCUGGUCAACAAGGUGAAACUCCAUCUCUACUAAAAAUACAAAAAUUAGCUUGGCAUGGUGGCGUGUGCCUGUAGUCCCAGCUACUCAGGAGGCUAAGGCAGGAGAAUUGCUUGAACCCAGGAGGCGGAGGUUGUGGUGAGCUGAGAUCGCGCCAUUGCACUCCAGCCUGGGUAACAAGAGUGAAACUCCAUCUCAAAACAAAAAUAAAAAAUAAAAAAAAAGAAAGAAAAAGACUUGGAACCAACCCAAAUGCCCAUCAAUGAUAGACUGGAAAAAGAAAAUGUAAUACAUAUACACCAUGGAAUACUAUGCAGCUAUAAAAAAGAAUGCAUUCAUGUCCUUUGCAGGGACAUGGAUGAAGCUGGAAACCAUCUUUCUCAGCAAACUAACACAAACACAAAAACCAAACACUGCAUGUUCUCAUUCAUAAAUGGGAGUUGAACAAUGAGAUCACAUGGACACAGAGAGAGGAACAUCAUAUACCAGGGCCUGUCAGGGGUGAGGGGCUUGGGGAGGGAUAUAAAGGGGUAGGAGGAUGGGGGAGGGAUAACAUUAGGAGAAAUGCCUAAUGUAGAUGACAGGUU